CUACGGGCUGCAGCAGUGGGGAAUAUUGGACAAUGGGGGAAACCCUGAUCCAGCAAUGCCGCGUGUGUGAAGAAGGCCUGCGGGUUGUAAAGCACUUUCGGUUGGGAGGACUGCUUCUAGCACUAAUAUUGUUGGAAGUUGACGUUACCUUCAGAAGAAGCACCGGCUAACUCCGUGCCAGCAGCCGCGGUAAUACGGAGGGUGCAAGCGUGAAUCGGAAUUACUGGGCGUAAAGCGCGCGUAGGCGGCUAGAUCAGUCGGGUGUGAAAGCCCCGGGCUUAACCUGGGAACUGCAUCCGAUACUGUCUAGCUUGAGUACAGGAGAGGAGAGUGGAAUUCCACAUGUAGCGGUGAAAUGCGUAGAUAUGUGGAGGAACACCGAUGGCGAAAGCAGCUCUCUGGCCUGAUACUGACGCUGAGGUGCGAAAGCGUGGGGAGCAAACAGGAUUAGAUACCCGGGUAGUC
rnacentral:rRNA from 1 species